AAACAUCUAAAAAUCAACUCACAUCACAAAGGAAACCUAAAGAUUGAUACUAGAAUUGGAUUAAAAAAUAAAUAAAGAAUAUCAAAAUUAUUUUUUUUCAAUGGUGCAUAAGGCACAAAAGUAUGAUGGCCAAUAUGACUUCUCUGCCGCAAACCAAUUCAUAUCUUGUGCAGCAGCCUGCUUCAGCUGGUCCAUGGUGUAAUAAAGUUUCUCACAGUGCACACUUAAAAAAAUCAAACCGUGGGUACCUUGUUUAAUUGCAAAAUUCUUUCUCUUGUUAAUCUCACACACACACACACACACACAUAUAUAUAUAUAUAUAUAUAUAUAUACAUAUAUAUACCCGUGGCAGCUCCAGCAAUUUGAAUCAAAGAGAUAUCAAAGGUGUGGGUCCCACUAAUAAUUGUAAAAGCUUCUUUCCUUUUCAAUUCUGCUAUUCACGUGCAGUGCAGAUUUUUUUUUUUUUCACUUUCCAAUUCAAUUCUUAUACGGACCCCACAAAAAGAAGUUCACGUUUUCAUCAUUCUGCACCAAAUACACUUGGAAAUUGGAAUACCAUUUCCAAAUCAAUUCUCCAAACCAUUGGCAGCCCCACAAUUCUCCUCUCACAAACCCCACACCAAGUUUCAUCCAUUGCAAGAUUCUCACCAAAAUUGAAGUUUCUUUAUUACUGUACAUGUAAUGAAUUAUAUCAAUUCAACAAAGUAACCGCUGGUCCCCACAAGAAGUCUCCAAUUGUCAAAUCCCACAAAAUUGCUUUUGAAAUUAGAAGCAAAAAUCACGCUGCCUGCACUCCAAUUUCUCACCAAAUUUCACGCCAAUCACCGAGCUACUUCAGAAAUAAACUUCUAUGAAUUCCACUGUGUAAUUUUAGUUUGCGGGAAGCUCCCAAUCAAUUCUUCAUGAACGUCCAAAUCUCACAAUGCAAGUUCUCGUACAACACCCACUAUUUGUCUCAAUUUUUCAGCUGCAACUAAUUUGACACCAACAAAACUAAGCCAAUGUAAUUGUAACACAGAAAUCAUAAAAUUCUGCACCAAAUAAUACAGCAACUAAAUGGCAACAAAAAUAUUCACUGCACCCCAAAGCAGACAAAUCAAGACUGCACCAACAAACUAUGCUUCAAACAAACAGCAAAAAUAAGCAACUGUAAACAGCCAACUCAUUUCAAUCAGUGCUUUGCACCAGAAAUUUCUGUACCAAAAAUCUGCUCUAGAAUUAGACAAAUCGGUGCCAAUUGGUUCCAAAAUAUUCUGCACUACCAAUUUUCUGGACUACACCAGCAGCAAUAUUAAUCAAGCAACAACACCUCCUCUGCAUUGCAAAUGAAAUUCAGAGGCACAAUUUCAAUUAGAAACUACAAGAGCAAAACCAGAAACACAAAGAAGCUUGAUUCCAAAUGAACUGCCCCAAAACAAUUUAUCAAACACCUUGGCUGCACUAAGACACAAUCGAACCAAAUUUCUCCAAGCGAUUCACUCACUGAAAGAAGGCCCAGGCUGUGAGGAGAUUGAUUCACCGAAUUCACCAAAUUCGAUUUUCCAGUUUCAAUUUUCUUCAACACCUCACCGUUUCUCCAUUUAAACUUCUCCAAGACGAAGAACAGUGAAGGAAAAACGAGAACGGAAGAAGGAACUUACAUGAAUCAAUUCAUUUUUUACUGCUUUAAUUCUCCGAUCGUCUUCUCCGUUCAAUAGUUUCGCUGGGAAACGUCACUGCCGUUUGCGAUUCCUCCGUUCGCAAUUCCUCCGUGCGCUUCCGAUUUAGGUCGUCGGAAAUCUCUAACCUCCGAUUGGCACCAUUAUUAUUCUUCGAUCAAUCUUCGCACACCGAUUCAAGAUGAAACUGAAGAAGAAAAAUGGAACAGAAGAUGAAGAACAGCAACGCAAAUCGCAGAGAAAAUUUCCAGGAAAAAUCUGAAAAACCUACAUAUCUGCUAUUCGUACCACUGGAUUCAUUGUCCACACCAAAUAUCCAAUGAUAUCUCCAAACAGGUUGAGAUUAAUAUGCACACCACUGGAAUCGCUUUUUGCACCACAGAGAAUUUUUCAGAAAUUUUUUUCGAGAAUUUUCGAAAAUGAAAUUUGGAGAAGAUGAUAAUGGAAACAUAACUAUAAAGAAAAUUGCCAAUGCUCGAAUAACAAUUUAUGAACUCAAAAAUAAAAAUCGAAAAAGCACUUGAGCUCUAAUCUAUGAAGAAAUUUGAAAAAAAUUCAAAAAUUUAACUAAUGGAAUUUAUGACAAUUUUUUGACUAAACAUGACCCUAGACAAAAUAUUUAUGAUUUUAAAAUUAAAAUGACUCAAUAAUAUGAACACAUGAACAUGAGCACAUACAUGAAUGUUCAAGUAAGAACAACUAAUUUGAACCGAAAAAAAAAGACAAAAAAACACAAAAUCAAUAUGUAGAAACAUUCAAGGUGUACAAGACAUGAAAAAAAAAUAUGAAAACAACGCGAAAUUAUGAAAAAAAUAGAAGAAGAUCUUACAACCAUAACUUUGAAUACCAAAUGAUGGAAAAAUGUUC
rnacentral:lncRNA from 1 species